UUCUAAGACAACUAGGAUGUUGGCUUAGAAGCAGCCACUCAUUAAAAGAGUGCGUAAUAGCUCACUAGUCAAGAGAUCCUGCGCCGAAAAUGUCCGGGGCUCAAACUUACCACCGAAGCUACGGGUUCACACAUUAGUGUGAGCGGUAGAGGAGCGUCGUAAUCGGGCUGAAGUCGUACCGUAAGGAGCGGUGGACUGAUUACGAGUGAGAAUGUUGGCAUUAGUAGCGAGAUGUGGGUGAGAAUCCCACAGGCCGAAUACCUAAGGUUUCCUCAGGAAGGUUCGUCCGCUGAGGGUUAGUCGGGACCUAAGCUGAGGC
rnacentral:rRNA from 1 species